CUGCUGCGUGCACGGCGGUCCUCGGCCCUGCUGAAUCAGUGCUCCGGGAGGCAGAGCCUGCCUCCAGGUGAUGGACAGCAGGUGCUGAUUCAGGAGUGUGUGCGGGAUCCAGCAGCAACCGCAUUAAGCGGAUUUACAAAAAAGAUAAGGCGCCGCGCUGAGCUUCCCUCGGUAAUCGUGCGGCGCACAAUUUGGGGCUGCGCUGGGAAUUUCGGCACAGAUGACAGUGUUCGUAGCCCAUCAGAGAGUUUCUGUUCCUAUGCGAUGCCGGUGCCCAGGCUCACUUCAAUCAGGCUGCACAAAUCACUGGAGCAGAAAUGCCUCCUUCUCUCCAUCACCUGAAGCCAAUGCUGAUUCAUCUGUUCAGACCCACUCUUCCUGCCUGUUGCCUGAAUUAACUGAUUGCUGAAUCAUUUUUUUUUCUUUUUUUUCCUGUAUCAAGUGUCCCGCACUGACUGCAAUAUACUGCAUUUCCAGAUCUGACUGAAAGGGAAUAUGGAAAUUAAUUGGCUCAGGCUGUGAACAGCUUUUUACAAGCGCUUGUAUUCUGUGAGAGGUGCAGUGCAAUUGCCUUUCCAUUGUAACUCCCCAGCAACCACCUGUCUCCUUGCACACGCACGCUCCUGCGGCUGCACUCGGCUUGGGUACCAGAGAUGGCUGUUCCCUUCGUUGCCCUAUUAUACAAGCGGAAGGGCAGCUGGCAGGGCCGUCCCUGAGCAGGCUGGAACUGCCCCUGUUUGACUCAGAAUAGACCAGAUAUAGUGAAUUCUCCAGCUUGCGGGAAAUAGCAUGUGACUGGUGCUUUGGUGAGGGCUGCAGAGAGACGUUUUACAGUACAUUGUCACUCCUGUUGAAGCGGUUAUUUGUUCUCUCUGCUGGAAGCAGAGCCUGACUGAAAGAGAAGCAGCUGGGCAUCAUCCCUCAGCUGUGGGUGGCUCCUAGUAGCACUGCAAGGCAUUCCCUGGGCAGGCUGGUAUAAUUUGAACCCGUGGCUAUGCUCCACCCCAAACAUUUUUGUGCCUGGGUUUCUAUCUUCCACUGGUUUCAAACCAGAUUUUCUCAUGGGGCUGUCUUCUGACUGUGGAGAAUUUGGUUUUCUCUGGUGAAAUUGCCCUGUUUCUUGGAUGCUGGAGUGAUAUUACUAUUACAAGAAUGUGGACUGAGGACAGUGGCCCUGCUGUCCCAUGCUGAGCACUGCAUAGACACCUCCUGAGGAGCUGCCCCAUGGCCCUGUGGAGCUUUUCCAUCUUCAUGAAAAAGAUAAAGCUGGGGAGAAGGAAACCCUUAUUGCUAUGUCACAAGGGAGGUGCAAAAAGGACAAGGACUCACACUGGGCCAGACAGGAGGGCAAUGUCAGAGAGACCAAUACCUAAAGAGCAGAGGGGAGGAAUGGAGACCCAUGGUACCACUCCUGGGCCCUGUGAGUGCCCAGCUUUCCCUGGGAGGCAAUGGGCAAAGCAGACAGGCUCCUUGGAAAGGUGGAUGGUGCAAAACCAACCCUGACUUAAUCCUCAGCUGGAAGGGCAAAACUAAAGUCUCAUAUCCAGGAGAAUAUUGGUCAUUUGCACUGAUUGUUUUUUCUUUGGCAGCAUCUCAAAAAGUGGCUUUUAGAGACUUGAGGAGGACUUCUGUGCCCAGAAGCUUGUCUAGUUUCCCCAUCUGUAUUCAGUUGGUCUAAUAAAAGAUGUUGUCUUUAUACACAGA